rnacentral:rRNA from 1 species
CGGACGGGUGAGUAACACGUAGAGAACCUACCUUACACAGGGGGACAACGGCUGGAAACGGCUGCUAAUACCGCAUAAGCACCCAGUUUCGCAUGAAACAGAGUGAAAAGAGUAAAUCGGUGUAAGAUGGCUCUGCGUCUGAUUAGCUAGUUGGUGGGGUAAAGGCUCACCAAGGCGACGAUUAGUAGCCGGCCUGAGAGGGCGACCGGCCACAUUGGGACUGAGACACGGCCCAGACUCCUACGGGAGGCAGCAG